GACGAACGCUGGCGGCGUGCCUAAUACAUGCAAGUCGAGCGGACUUAUUCGAGUAGCUUGCUAUUUGGAUAAGUUAGCGGCGGACGGGUGAGUAACACGUGGGUAAUCUGCCUCGUAGACUGGGAUAACAGGUCGAAAGGCCUGCUAAUACCGGAUGGGUUCAUGGUUAUGCAUAUAAUCAUGAGGAAAGGGGAAACCCGCUAUGAGAUGAGCCCGCGCCCCAUUAGCUAGUUGGUAAGGUAAAAGCUUACCAAGGCGACGAUGGGUAGCCGGCCUGAGAGGGUGGACGGCCACACUGGGACUGAGACACGGCCCAGACUCCUACGGGGGGCAGCAGUGGGGAAUCUUCCACAAUGGGCGAAAGCCUGAUGGAGCGACGCCGCGUGAGCGAAGAAGGCCUUCGGGUUGUAAAGCUCUGUCUGGAGGGACGAAGGAAGUGACGGUACCUCCGGAGGAAGCCACGGCUAACUACGUGCCAGCAGCCGCGGUAAGCACGAGAGUA
rnacentral:rRNA from 1 species